AAUGACCUCAUCCAGAAGAGAACUGAGAGAACUCUACAUAGCCAGAGGUCAAACUUCAGAUGCUUCUGCUACCUCCAGUCCAGAGCUGCUGGUAAAACCUGCCUGCUCAUCAGUUACCCGACCAAUGCAUUUCCUGGACAGUACAUCCCCACCGUCUUUGACAACUAGUCUGCCAAUGUUAUGGUAGAUGGAAAACCAGUGAAUCUGGGCCUAUGGGACACAGCUGGACAAGAAGAUCAUGACAGAUUGCAUCCCCUCUCCUACCUGCAAACAGACGUGUUCUUAAUUUGCUUUUCCCUUGUGAGUCCUGCAUCAUUUGAAAAUGUCUGUGUAAAGUGGUCUCCUGAAGUGCGACACCACUGUCCCAAUACUCCUAUCAUCCUAGUGGGGACGAAGCUUGAUCUUAGGGAUGAUAAGGACACCAUUGAGAAGCUGAAGGAGAAGAAGCUGACUCCCAUCACCUACCCGCAGGGGUAGCCAUGGCCAAAGAGAUCGGUGCUGUUAAAUACCUGGAGUGCUCAGCUCUCACACAGCAAGUACUCAAGACAGUGUUUGACGAAGCUAUCCGAGCAGUUCUCUGUCCCCCUCCUGUCAAGAAGAGGAGAGAAUGCCUGCUGUUGUAAAUGUCGGAGCCUGUCGUUCUCGGUCCUGUCUGGAACCUUUGUACGCUUUGCUCAAAAAUCAGCGGAGCCUUCGCUUGCAGUUGAUGCUGAGUUUUUGUUACAGAUUAAUUUUUCCAUAAAACCAUUUUGAACCAAUGAACCAGCCAAUAAGUUUAAGGUUCUGUUUUAAAUGUAAGAAUUCCAACUUACAGUCUAUUAAAAUUCAGCCCUAAAAUGACAAAGCCUUCUUCAAGCCUUAUUUUUAAAAUCCCCCAUUCUUGCUCAGAUUAA